GUGAAUAUAAGUCUUAAAUUUAAACAGUAUUAUAUAGAGUGAUAGUGUCUCUAUAGGGUGCUUGGAGGAAACCACGCAAUUCGUAUGGAUUACUUUGGCGAUGUUUUUUUGCGAUGAACUUUUUGAAACGUGAACAUAUUUGAUGAAUCUUUUCAUCGGAGGGACAUAAAUCUCUCCGAUUUCAUUAAAAUAUCUCCGCUUUUCGUUCGAAGAUGAACGAAAGUCUUAGAUGUUUUGGAGCAUCUUAAGGCGUCUGCAAGCGUGUAUGGCUUCUGGCUUUGGUACCUCACUGUGACUUCAGAUAAGAACAAAGAUCAAAUUGUAAGAAGGGUUGCUUAUAAGAGCAUACAGUACAUCUGAAACUGCUGAGGCUGGUAAGGUUUUUGACUAUAUUUCCGACCAGGUACAUUGUUCUGUCAUUCUUAAAUAGAAAACAAAUCACCAAUCAUCAUUUGCCUUUUUUUGUGCAUGUGAGAAAUAUUAACAUUUGUUGUUUUUCAGAU